UAUACAUAUUUUGUUCCACACUCUUAAUCAUAUAAAGGUGUUUGGCUUCAAGUGAAACUCUUGAACAUGUAUAAUUUAUCAUCUACACCAGUUCAAAAUGGUCAUAAGCUCAUAACAGAGGCUUACUCAUUUUCUGCUGUUGUUUUGCUCGUUGCAGUAAUAUGUUUGAUUCAUUUGAUACUGCUAAGCAGGGCCGGGUGACUCUUGAUCUCAACCAAUUUGUAUAUUGCAUAAGGGAACGCAAAAAAAGAAAAGAAAGAAAAACGACUCCAGCUGAUGGAAAAUUUAAGCUUCACCACCGCCUCCACCACCUCCAAUAGACCAAGCUUCAGAUGCAAAUUUAGGAGAGUCGCCAUCUAUUUCAGUUCGGGAGUCACAAGAUGAUUCUUAGUUUAUUUACAUUAAUUUACUAAGGAAUGUACUUUAUGAAGUUUUUUUUAUUUUGGUAGGGGUAACCUUAAAAUAAUAACUUUAUGACUUAUUUUAGUAUUGAAUAUUAUAAAGAAUUUUAGCAUUAAACAUUUUAUUA